GGUCUAUAUUACACAGUGAACAGGAUGUGUAGUUGGGUAUAUAGCGCGAGCUGUGAUAUAAUUAAUAUACACACUGAGAAACUAUUACAGAUUCCAUUGACUUCAUAUAUAAGAUGCAUUCUGUCAGCUUCAUGUGUGUUGUCUUGGUUACUCUAUGUUUUGUGGUGGAUGUAACUCAUGGUCAGAUAGCUAAUUGUGCAACCAAUAAUAAUUGUAGCAUGACUACAAAUUUUAAACUUAUCAAUGUACAACCUCCCGGUCAACCUGCUAGCUACGUAAAGGUCUGCUGUAAGCUAGAGGACGGGAUUCAGAGCAUGUAUUUUAGAGCGGCAAGCGCCACUUCUACCAAACCCGCUUUCUGUGAAUGCGAUUUCACACAUCUUAAUGGGACUUGUGAACGUGGUGAACAAUGUACAGGGGUUAAAGCCACCACGAGCCCUGGUUCAAUUUACGGAAUGAAGAUCUGCUGUCCAACCAUUACUUCUAGAGUAACCAGGUUUGCCCGGAUCAACGGUACACGGGAUUAUGACUGUCAAUGUUCGGAACCAAAUGGUGACGAUUGGACUGGGAACUGUUGGAAGGCAAGUCAGUGUAACGGCUGCGACGCAGUCAAUGUUAUAAGUGUGAGCGGCUUGAAACUCUGCUGUCCCAACUGCCAAAAGAACGAUCUCCGCUUCAACGCCCGUCUGAAGACCUGUAGUUGUAAUGCUUAAAUCUCACUCUUCAACAAUCUAUUUUCGUCUAAUCCAAUGUUAUUACCUUUUUUGAUAUAAUGUCAAUCUUCCAUUUUACCAAAAUAUAACUUAUUGUUUUGAAAAUAGAUAAAAAAAAGUUGAAAAUCA